rnacentral:rRNA from 1 species
UAGUCGUAACAAGGUUUCCGUAGGUGAACCUGCGGAAGGAUCAUUACCGAGUGCGGGUCUUUAUGGCCCAACCUCCCACCCGUGACUAUUGUACCUUGUUGCUUCGGCGGGCCCGCCAGCGUUGCUGGCCGCCGGGGGGCGACUCGCCCCCGGGCCCGUGCCCGCCGGAGACCCCAACAUGAACCCUGUUCUGAAAGCUUGCAGUCUGAGUGUGAUUCUUUGCAAUCAGUUAAAACUUUCAACAAUGGAUCUCUUGGUUCCGGCUUCGAUGAAGAACGCAGCGAAAUGCGAUAACUAAUGUGAAUUGCAGAAUUCAGUGAAUCAUCGAGUCUUUGAACGCACUUUGCGCCCCCUGGUUUUCCGGGGGGCAUGCCUGUCCGAGCGUCAUUGCUGCCCUCAAGCCCGGUUUGUGUGUUGGGCCCUCGUCCCCCGGCUCCCGGGGGACGGGCCCGAAAGGCAGCGGCGGCCCCGCGUCCGGUCCUCGAGCGUAUGGGGCUUCGUCUUCCGCUCCGUAGGCCCGGCCGGCGCCCGCCGACGCAUUUAUUUGCAAUUUGUUUUUUUCCCGGUUGCCCUCGGAUCAGGUAGGGAUACCCGCUGAACUUAAGCAUAUCAAUAAGCGGAGGAAAAGAAACCAACCGGGAUUGCCUCAGUAACUGCGAGUGAAGCGGGAAA